rnacentral:rRNA from 1 species
GACGAACGCUGGCGGCGUGCUUAACACAUGCAAGUCGAGCGGAAAGGCCACUUCGGUGGUACUCGAGCGGCGAACGGGUGAGUAACACGUGAGUAAUCUGCCCCUGGCUUUGGGAUAGCCACCGGAAACGGUGAUUAAUACCGGAUAUGACACAUUCUCGCAUGAGGUUGUGUGGAAAGUUUUUCGGCCAGGGAUGUGCUCGGGGCCUAUCAGCCUGAUUGUGGGGUUAGGGCUCUCCAUGGCCUCCACGGGUAGCCGACCUGGGAGGGUGACCGGUCACACUGGGACUGAGACACGGCCCAGACUCCAACGGGGGGCAGCAGUGGGAAAAAUGGGCCAGUGGGCGGAAGCCUGAUACAGAAACGCCGGGUGGGGAAUGACGGCCUUCGGGUUGAAAACCUCUUUAGGUGCCGACGAAGCGGAAGUGACGGUAGCUACAGAAGAAGCACCGGCUAACUACGUG